rnacentral:rRNA from 1 species
UACAGAGGUCUCAAGCGUUGUUCGGAUUCAUUGGGCGUAAAGGGUGCGUAGGUGGCGCCGUAAGUCAGGUGUGAAAUUUCGGAGCUUAACUCCGAAACUGCAUUUGAUACUGCGGUGCUUGAGGACUGGAGAGGAGACUGGAAUUUACGGUGUAGCAGUGAAAUGCGUAGAGAUCGUAAGGAAGACCAGUGGCGAAGGCGGGAUCUCUGGACAGUUCUACACUGAGGCACGAAGGCCAGGGGAGCAAACGGG